UCUUAGUAGUUCAUGUUUUGACUUUUGGCACCCCUGAGAUUCCUGCCUAGCUCCGCCACUGCUACAUACGGACAUAUGUGACAUAUUUUAGAACGUAGAUUCACUCAUUUUGCUCCGUAUGUAGCCCGUAUUGCUCAUUAAAAUUGUAUUACAAAAUUUGACUAGUAAUCAGAAAUAGAUACACAUAUUAUCAUAUCUCAACAUCCCGCAGCUCCUCGAGUGAUUUGUAAGGUCCACCGCCCCUGGCAUGGACGAGCGAGGCAAUACUUGUUGUUGAUAGAACUUGUACUAGAAAUAUUUGGGUACAUUCACAUCUCGCCGUCCCACAGCUCCUCGAGUGAUUUGUAAGGUCCGUCGGGCGACACAAAGUAGUCCCCCUGGCACGCCCUUUUCUGCGGUAUCGUGGCGAUCAUGGCCUUGUCCUCAUCGCUCAGCUCCCAAU
rnacentral:lncRNA from 1 species